AUUGAACGCUGGCGGAAUGCUUUACACAUGCAAGUCGAACGGCAGCACGGGGCAACCUGGUGGCGAGUGGCGAACGGGUGAGUAAUAUAUCGGAACGUGCCCAAUCGUGGGGGAUAACGUAGCGAAAGUUACGCUAAUACCGCAUACGAUCUACGGAUGAAAGCGGGGGAUCGCAAGGCCUCGCGCGAAUGGAGCGGCCGAUAUCAGAUUAGGUAGUUGGUGGGGUAAAGGCUCACCAAGCCAACGAUCUGUAGCUGGUCUGAGAGGACGACCAGCCACACUGGAACUGAGACACGGUCCAGACUCCUACGGGAGGCAGCAGUGGGGAAUUUUGGACAAUGGGCGCAAGCCUGACGCAGCAACGCCGCGUGUGUGACGAAGGCCCUUGGGUUGUAAAGCACUGUGGGCAGGGAAGAAAAAACGGGGGUUAGUACCCGGUCUUGACGGUACCUGUUUAGAAAGCACCGGCUAACUCCGUGCCAGCAGCCG
rnacentral:rRNA from 1 species